UACGUAGGGUGCAAGCGUUAUCCGGAAUUAUUGGGCGUAAAGAGCUCGUAGGCGGUUUGUCGCGUCUGCUGUGAAAACUGGAGGCUCAACCUCCAGCCUGCAGUGGGUACGGGCAAACUAGAGUGCGGUAGGGGGAGAUUGGAAUUCCUGGUGUAGCGGUGGAAUGCGCAGAUAUCAGGAGGAACACCGAUGGCGAAGGCAGAUCUCUGGGCCGUAACUGACGCUGAGGAGCGAAAGCAUGGGGAGCGAACAGG
rnacentral:rRNA from 1 species